rnacentral:rRNA from 1 species
GUGGGGAAUAUUGGACAAUGGGGGCAACCCUGAUCCAGCCAUGCCGCGUGAGUGAUGAAGGCCUUAGGGUUGUAAAGCUCUUUUACCGAUGAAGAUAAUGACGGUAGUCGGAGAAAAAGCCCCGGCUAACUUCGUGCCAGCAGCCGCGGUAAUACGAAGGGGGCUAGCGUUGUUCGGAUUUACUGGGCGUAAAGCGUGCGUAGGUGGUCUCGUAAGUCAGUGGUGAAAUCCCGGAGCUUAACUCCGGAACUGCCAUUGAAACUGCGAGGCUUGAAUCUCAAAGGGGGUGGCGGAAUUCCUAAUGUAGGGGUGAAAUCCGUAGAUAUUAGGAGGAACACCGAUGGCGAAGGCAGCCACCUGGGUGAGUAUUGACACUGAGGCACGAAAGCGUGGGGAUCAAACAGGAUUAGAUACCCGUGUAGUCC